UACGUAGGGGGCAAGCGUUGUCCGGAAUUAUUGGGCGUAAAGAGCUCGUAGGCGGUCUGUCGCGUCUGCCGUGAAAACCCGAGGCUUAACCUCGUGGCUUGCGGUGGAUACGGGCAGACUAGAGGUAGGUAGGGGAGAAUGGAAUUCCCGGUGUAGCGGUGAAAUGCGCAGAUAUCGGGAGGAACACCGGUGGCGAAGGCGGUUCUCUGGGCCUUACCUGACGCUGAGGUGCGAAAGCGUGGGGAGCAAACAGG
rnacentral:rRNA from 1 species